GUCAGAACGAACGCUGGUGGCGUGUCUUAUACAUGCAAGUCGAGCGAGGCAGCAAUGCCUAGCGGCGAACGGGUGAGUAACGCGUAAGCAAUCUGCCCCAUAUCAGGAAAUACCCGUGCCAACGCGCGGUUAAUGUCCAGGAGCGUGGCCUUCCGCAUGGGAGGUUGACAAGAGAUUUAUCGGUAUGGGAUGAGCUUGCGUCCGAUUAGCUAGUUGGCGGGCAACGGCCCACCAAGGCGACGAUCGGUAGCCGGCCUGAGAGGGUGAUCGGCCACAUUGGGACUGAGAUACGGCCUAGACUCCUACGGGAGGCAGCAGUAGGGAAUAUUGCACAAUGGGGGAAACCCUGAUGCAGCAACGCCCACGUGUGGGAAGAAGCAUUUCGGUGUGUAAACCACUGUCGUGAGGGAAUAAGGCGUCUUCUCGGAGACGUUGAAUGUACCUCGAAAGGAAGCACCGGCAAACUUCGUGCCAGCCGCGGC
rnacentral:rRNA from 1 species